UACGUAGGUCCCGAGCGUUGUCCGGAUUUAUUGGGCGUAAAGCGAGCGCAGGUGGUUUAUUAAGUCUGGUGUAAAAGGCAGUGGCUCAACCAUUGUAUGCAUUGGAAACUGGUAGACUUGAGUGCAGGAGAGGAGAGUGGAAUUCCAUGUGUAGCGGUGAAAUGCGUAGAUAUAUGGAGGAACACCAGUGGCGAAAGCGGCUCUCUGGCCUGUAACUGACACUGAGGCUCGAAAACGUGGGGAGCAAACAGG
rnacentral:rRNA from 1 species